rnacentral:rRNA from 1 species
UACAGGGGGUGCAAACGUUGCUCGGAAUCAUUGGGCGUAAAGCGCACGUAGGCGGUUCGUUAUGUCGGAUGUGAAAGCCCUUGGCUUAACCGAGGAAGUGCAUCCGAAACUGGCGAGCUAGAGUACGAAAGAGGAUCGCGGAAUUCCCGGUGUAGAGGUGAAAUUCGUAGAUAUUCGCAAGAACACCAGCGGCGAAGGCGGCUUACUGGUCCGGAACUGACGCUGAGGUGCGAAAGCGUGGGGAGCAAACAGG